GCAGCAGCCGCGGGAAUACGGAGGGUGCAAGCGUUAAUCGGAAUUACUGGGCGUAAAGCGCACGCAGGCGGUCUGACAAGUCAGAUGUGAAAUCCCCGGGCUUAACCUGGGAACUGCAUUUGAAACUGUCAGGCUGGAGUCUUGUAGAGGGGGGUGGAAUUCCAGGUGUAGCGGUGAAAUGCGUAGAGAUCUGGAGGAAUACCGGUGGCGAAGGCGGCCCCCUGGACAAAGACUGACGCUCAGGUGCGAAAGCGUGGGGAGCAAACAGGAUUGGAUACCCCAGUAGUCCCUGUCUCUUAUAC
rnacentral:rRNA from 1 species